AUUGAACGCUGGCGGCAGGCCUAACACAUGCAAGUCGAGCGGCAGCGGGAAAGUAGCUUGCUACUUUUGCCGGCGAGCGGCGGACGGGUGAGUAAUGCCUGGGGAUCUGCCCAGUCGAGGGGGGAUAACUACUGGAAACGGUAGCUAAUACCGCAUACGCCCUACGGGGGAAAGCAGGGGACCUUCGGGCCUUGCGCGAUUGGAUGAACCCAGGUGGGAUUAGCUAGUUGGUGAGGUAAUGGCUCACCAAGGCGACGAUCCCUAGCUGGUCUGAGAGGAUGAUCAGCCACACUGGAACUGAGACACGGUCCAGACUCCUACGGGAAGCAGCAGUGGGGAAUAUUGCACAAUGGGGGAAACCCUGAUGCAGCCAUGCCGCGUGUGUGAAGAAGGCCUUCGGGUUGUAAAGCACUUUCAGCGAGGAGGAAAGGUUGGUAGCUAAUAACUGCCAGCUGUGACGUUACUCGCAGAAGAAGCACCGGCUAACUCCGUGCCAGCAGCCGCCGUAACAC
rnacentral:rRNA from 1 species